ensembl:lncRNA
UGAUUAUCUUGUUACAGUGACACCUGUCAAGAAGGUGGGAUAUAUUAGGCAGCACGUGAACAGUCAGCUCACAAGGUUGAAGUGUUGGAACCAGGAUGCACUAUGGGAAGGAGGCAAGCUGGCUGAGGAAGUAUGAUGCUCUGGGCAAUGUUCUGCUGGUAAACCUUGGCCAUAGCCCUCCUCUGAUUCAACAAGAAAUCCUGAGAGAAGACCAGAGAAGAUCCUGGCUACGAGACAGAUGGCGUCCCCCCCUGAAUCUCACCUGCAGUGGCCAGAGUGAGCUGUGAAGCACACGUCCAAUUGCCCUCAGGCUCUUGACGGACGGGCACGGGUGACGCGGGCCUCUCAGACGUGGCUGUCAGUGUGCGCUGUUGGAGCAGAUGGCCCAGAAUGGCAAGAGACGGAGGAGAGGCAGCGGGCGGGCGAUAUGUG